CAGUAGCCACGGUAAUACGUAGGUGGCGAGCGUUGUCCGGAAUCAUUGGGCGUAAAGGGAGCGCAGGCGGGCAUGUAAGUCUUUCUUAAAAGUUCGGGGCUCAACCCCGUGAUGGGAAAGAAACUACAUGUCUUGAGUACAGGAGAGGAAAGCGGAAUUCCCAGUGUAGCGGUGAAAUGCGUAGAUAUUGGGAGGAACACCAGUGGCGAAGGCGGCUUUCUGGACUGCAACUGACGCUGAGGCUCGAAAGCCAGGGGAGCGAACGGGAUUAGAUACCCCAGUAGUCCCUGUCUCUUAUACA
rnacentral:rRNA from 1 species